UUGCCUCAGUAACGGCGAGUGAAGCGGCAAUAGCUCAAAUUUGAAAUCUGCUCUUUGAGCCGAAUUGUAAUUUGUAGAGGAUGCUUCGGCUUACGUUUCGGUCUAAGUUCCUUGGAACAGGACGUCAUAGAGGGUGAGAAUCCCGUCUGUGGCCGAGACUUCCGCCAUGUGAAGCUCCUUCGACGAGUCGAGUUGUUUGGGAAUGCAGCUCUAAAUGGGAGGUAUAUUUCUUCUAAAGCUAAAUACCGGCCAGAGACCGAUAGCGCACAAGUAGAGUGAUCGAAAGAUGAAAAGCACUUUGGAAAGAGAGUUAAAAAGUACGUGAAAUUGUUGAAAGGGAAGCGUUUGCGACCAGACUUGCCCGCGGAUGCUCAACCGGUCCUUCGGCCGGUGCACUCUUCCGCGGUCAGGCCAGCAUCAGUUCGAGUAGCCAGAUAAAGGCAUUGGGAAUGUGGCUCUCUUCGGGGAGUGUUAUAGCCCUUUGUGUAAUAUGGUUCAUUUGGACUGAGGCCCGCGCUUCGGCUAGGAUGCUGGCGUAAUGGUCGUAAGCGGCCCGUCUUGAAACACGGACCAAGGAGUCUAACAUCUAUGCGAGUGUUUGGGUGUCAAACCCGUGCGCGAAAUGAAAGUGAACGGAGGUGGGAACCUUUGGGUGCACCAUCGACCGAUCCUGAUGUCUUCGGAUGGAUUUGAGUAAGAGCAUAGCUGUUGGGACCCGAAAGAUGGUGAACUAUGCCUGAAUAGGGUGAAGCCAGAGGAAACUCUGGUGGAGGCUCGCAGCGGUUCUGACGUGCAAAUCGAUCGUCAAAUUUGGGUAUAGGGGCGAAAGACUAAUCGAACCAU
rnacentral:rRNA from 1 species